AUAUCUUGUGUUUCACUUGCUCUGAUGAGAUUGAAAAUGCUUGCACUGAACUACAAAUAGUGACCAAUGCAACAAAUUGGAAGUGUAUGAUUUAUUCAGCUUUCCUCCAAAUCCAUUCAUAAUCCUACUUUAUGGAAAAGAGAUUCUAAUUCUUCCUCAAGCACACAAGUCAGAACACACCUAGUGAAGGGUCUGGGGAGAAAGCCAGAAUUCAGAUGCCAAGCAAGUCUCUUCGGCCAGGGCCAAAAAAGUGCGGAUGUCCAUCCUGAGAUUGUUGGUGAACUCUUUCAACAAAAUGACCUCUAGUUCUCAAGUGAAGUACCUCAAUAAGCUGCAGGUUUAACUUAUGAAGUAAAUCCUGGUAAAAUCUGAAGAAAAACUCAUACAAGUGACAACAGUUGAUGACAGAGGAUUGUUUACAAAUGACUUGGCGGGACAGAAGAAAGAAUAUUCCAUUGCUCGGUCUCUUCUACGUUAACCGUCAGUAUCAAAGGAAGUCAACUAAGAGGCUCUUUCAAACUACAGCCUUGAAAGGGAAGACAUUGACUUAAAAUGUCAAAGACACAGGGAGUUUUCGUAUAUGUCCACAGUCAACAUUUUGAGAGCAUGAGACCAAAUAAACAAACCGUUGUUCUUUCUACUGAAUCAAUCAGAAAGCCUCCUCUCUGCAUUUAUUAUGAC